AUGGCUGUCUCCUUCCUCGUCUUCCUUCCCAUGCUGGGGCUCCCCUGCGGUGUCCUCUUCCAGGUACAAUUGCAGGAGUUGUGCUCCACGGUGGUGCGGCCCUCGCAGACCUUGUCCCUCACCUGUGCCAUCUCUGGGAACAGUGUCUCCUGCAACAGUGCCACUUGGGACUGGGUCAGGCAGCCCCCAGGGGAAGGGCUCCAAUGUCUGGGAAGGACCUACUUCAGGUACAAGUGGUACAGAGAGUCCGUGCCAUCUGUCCAGAGUCUGUUAGUCAUCGACCCUGACAUGUCCAAGAACCAGUUCUCCCUGCAGCUGAGCUCCGUGACCACUGAGGACACGGCCAUGUAUUACUGUGCCACAGGCACAGAGAGCACCUCCUGGUAA